UCAGCAUUCCUAGUUUCUCAGGCCCUUCUUGAGGCUAGACUCCCACUCCCUCCCCUUCCUUGUCACUAAUUUAUCUUGUUGCUGUUGUCUCAGAUCAACACCCUUGAGGUAGGCUAGAAAUUCACCCCAAUUUACUUUCAUAAACAAAGCAAGGGACCGAGGCCUGAGGCAUCUCUCUUCCUCCUAGUGAAGUCUUCUUUCCCGUCUCCAAGACCCCAGGGAACAAAAGAGAGUGAACAACCGAGGCAGCAACUUUGGGGAUUUGAAGAUGGGUGUUUCUGAAGAUCCGUUUAUUUCAAAACUGCCCGUCUGAAGCCAGGCCUUCCCAUUGGUUGAGCUUGAUUGUAAGCCAGCCGACAGCCAUCCCGGGGAGCGCCGCCCACUGUCAGCCCGUUGGGGGCAGACAGACUAAGACUGCAUCUCGUGAUGGGGGCCAGCGGCAGGCUCAUCCCUCACGCCAGGGAGAGGAACCUCUCACCAGAUGACCUCAGACUUACAAGUUAAAUCAGCGUCUGUGCCCAGAAUGUCUUUGUGGUAGAUUAUCCGUCCUCCAGACUCAACUCCUACACUGUCUUUUCCUCAGUGGAAAGCAGUUUUUCCUUCAGUGGUCCAAGUCACUUGACAGAGCCACUUACCUCCAGGGCUCCUGCAUCCCAGAAGCUCCAGUCCCCCGUCCAGUUUCCAGGGCCCGUCUUCUGGGUUCCUGCGCUUCAUCUCCCCCUGCCCCCAUCAAUUUCCAGAGCAGACCUUGAUUUCUUCAUCUAUAAAGAUGGUGAUAUUGGACGACACAACUUCUGCAAUUCCUUGCAUUCUAAAGAUUAUCCUGUGGAAGUGUCAGUUCGAGGAAGUAAAGUAAUGCCAUAAACAUGGAUCUGCAUAGCAAAUGUUUCUUUUAAGUUGUUUCGAAAUUUUAGUUUAACUGAGGUCCUUGUUUUUCUAAAUGUCCAUAAAAGUAUGAAAGUGUUUUUCCCUCCUCCCUCCCUCCCUUUUUUCCUUCUUUUCUUACUCCUUUCCUUCCUUUUACAGUGCUAUAGAU